AUUGAACGCUGGCGGCAUGCUUUACACAUGCAAGUCGAACGGCAGCGCGGGCUUCGGCCUGGCGGCGAGUGGCGAACGGGUGAGUAAUGCAUCGGAACGUGCCCAGUAGUGGGGGAUAGCCCGGCGAAAGCCGGAUUAAUACCGCCUACGACCUGAGGGUGAAAGCGGGGGACCGAAAGGCCUCGCGCUAUUGGAGCGGCCGAUGUCGGAUUAGCUAGUUGGUGGGGUAAAGGCUUACCAAGGCGACGAUCCGUAGCUGGUCUGAGAGGACGACCAGCCACACUGGGACUGAGACACGGCCCAGACUCCUACGGGAGGCAGCAGUGGGGAAUGUUGGACAAUGGGGGCAACCCUGAUCCAGCCAUGCCGCGUGCGGGAAGAAGGCCUUCGGGUUGUAAACCGCUUUUGUUCGGGAAGAAAUCCUCUGGGCUAAUACCCCGGGGGGAUGACGGUACCGGAAGAAUAAGCACCGGCUAACUACGUG
rnacentral:rRNA from 1 species